GGACAUGCACCUUCUUUGGUUGAUGGC
rnacentral:piRNA from 1 species